UGGUGGAGUGAUUUGUCUGGUUAAUUCCGAUAACGAACGAGACCUUAACCUGCUAACUAGUUUACUGAACGUGAGUUCUGGCAAACUUCUUAGAGGGACUAUCUGUGACUAACAGAUGGAAGUUUGAGGCAAUAGCA
rnacentral:rRNA from 1 species